UACGGAGGGGGCUAGCGUUGUUCGGAAUUACUGGGCGUAAAGCGCGCGUAGGCGGCUUUGUAAGUUAGAGGUGAAAGCCCGGAGCUCAACUCCGGAAUUGCCUUUAAGACUGCAUCGCUAGAAUCAUGGAGAGGUUAGUGGAAUUCCGAGUGUAGAGGUGAAAUUCGUAGAUAUUCGGAAGAACACCAGUGGCGAAGGCGACUAACUGGACACGUAUUGACGCUGAGGUGCGAAAGCGUGGGGAGCAAACAGG
rnacentral:rRNA from 1 species